CCUGUUCGUCACAUGCCCAUUUUAAGGAUUGGGCCUUUGAACAGUAACACUCAGGGGAACUGCCAUAAAACCGAUUAUUUUCCAAAACGCUUCCAACCGUGAUCAAUAAUCGCUGACUCAGUAUGGAGUCCAGCACGAUACCGGACUGUCCUCGCCUCGGCCCCCGGUGAGCAAUAUCUCUAUAUUCAGCAUCGGGGACAGCGGAGAAGGGCCGGGCCAAUGGAUGACACCACUGCCUGUCUUCAACCACUGAUGGUGCAUUCCGUUUAGCUCGGAAGUUGGAUCACAAGGCCAGGAAUGAUGUCACAUCCCAGCUGACCGCCAUCCAGUAACGAGCUGGUAAAAAGUCGGAAGAGUUAGCGAUCAGUGUUGAAGCACUGUUUGGUAAUACCCGCCGAUAACGACACACCAGGUGAUAUUUUGGGCGUGAAACACAGUAACAACAUGCCCACAGAUCGAAGUUGCACAUGUAUGACUGAUUUAACGGCACAAAAACAAGACUAAAUGGCUGAACGAGCAACUUUAACUUACUGUUGAUGCACAGAGCAGCCAUCUUGGAUUUUUCGAGUCAGAUUUCCGGGUUUGGAAGGAGGGUUUCUGAUGACGUUUCCAUAUGGGAUUUUAGAAUCCUUGAGCCCUGUGCUGUCAUAACCUUGUGAUAGAAAAAAAGGGGCCUCACCAUAGAGCGCAAACAAGUAAUGUGUCCCCUCAGUGUCUUUUUAAAGCUGCCCUGUGAGGUGAGCUAGUAACUUGGCUUCAUGGGUGGCGGCAG